GAUGAACGCUGGCGGCGUGCCUAAUACAUGCAAGUCGAGCGAACAGACGAGGAGCUUGCUCCUCUGACGUUAGCGGCGGACGGGUGAGUAACACGUGGAUAACCUACCUAUAAGACUGGGAUAACUUCGGGAAACCGGAGCUAAUACCGGAUAAUAUAUUGAACCGCAUGGUUCAAUAGUGAAAGACGGUUUUGCUGUCACUUAUAGAUGGAUCCACGCUGCAUUAGCUAGUUGGUAAGGUAACGGCUUACCAAGGCGACGAUGCGUAGCCGACCUGAGAGGGGGAUCGGCCACACUGGAACUGAGACACGGUCCAGACUCCUACGGGAGGCAGCAGUAGGGAAUAUUCCGCAAUGGGCGAAAGCCUGACGGAGCAACGCCGCGUGAAUGAUGAAGGUCUUCGGAUCGUAAAACUCUGUUAUUAGGGAAGAACAAAUGUAUAAGUAACUAUGCACGUCUUGACGGUACCUAAUCAGAAAGCCACGGCUAACUACGUG
rnacentral:rRNA from 1 species